rnacentral:misc_RNA from 1 species
AACGCACAUUGCGCCCCCUGGCAUUCCGGGGGGCAUGCCCGUUCGAGCGUCAUUAAAUCCAAUCAAGCCCGGCUUGGUGUUGGGCGUCGGGGCUCCCCCACGCCUCAAUUUCGCCCGGCUGGCCGUCGCCCGUCUUAGCGUUGUGGCAUUACUUUUCGCUAGCGAUGGCGGCGGACCGCGCCGUGAGAACCCCACGAAUUUCCGUCGAAAUUCGAACAGGUUGACCUCGGAUCGGGUAGGAAUACCCGCUGAACUUAA